AUGCAAGUCGAACGAGGUGCUUUUGUAGUAAUACGAGAGUAUCCUAGUGGCGAACGGGUGAGUAACGCGUUGGUGACCUACCCCAAAGUGUGGGAUAACAGUUCGAAAGGAUUGCUAAUACCUCAUGUGGUCUUCGGAUUUAGAAACUGAUGACUAAAGGAGUAAUCCGCUUUGGGAGGGACCUGCGUCCCAUCAGCUAGUUGGUGAGGUAAUGGCUCACCAAGGCUACGACGGGUAGGGGACCUGAGAGGGUGACCCCCCACAAUGGAACUGAAACACGGUCCAUACACCUACGGGUGGCAGCAGUAGGGAAUAUUGCACAAUGGGCGAAAGCCUGAUGGUGCGACGUCGCGUGAGGGAUGAAGGCCUUCGGGUUGUAAACCUCUGUCACCGGGGAAGAAACGCUUCAAGUUAACAGCUUGAAGCCUGACUUAACCCGGAGAGGAAGCAGUGGCUAACUCUGUGCCAGCAGCCGCGGUAAUACAGAGACUGCAAGCGUAUCGGAUCACUGGGCGUAA
rnacentral:rRNA from 1 species